CUUUCACUUUGUGUGGCUAUCUGGUGGAGGCCAAACUUUGAAACUAUAAUGUACCCCUAUUUCCCUCCACAUAUCACAAAGCCUAAGGAGUGUAAGAAGCUUUUCCUUGUUCACUUGUCUGAAAGAGAGUACUUCGCAGUACC